rnacentral:tRNA from 1 species
GCCGGGGUGGCGGAACAGGCAGACGCAGAGGACUUAAAAUCCUCGGAGCUUUGCUCAUGCGGGUUCAAGUCCCGCCUCCGGCA